AACGCACAUUGCGCCCGUUAGUACUCUAGCGGGCAUGCCUGUUCGAGCGUCAUUACAACCCUCAAGCACUGCUUGGUGUUGGGGACCUAUAUCAAUAUUAGGCCCUGAAAAUUAGUGGCGGGCUCGCUAAUAUCCCGAGCGUAGUAGAAAUCCUCGCUUAGGGCAUUAUAGCGGGUUCUUGCCGUUUAAAACCCUUCAAUUUUAAAAGGUUGACCUCGGAUCAGGUAGGAAUACCCGCUGAACUUAA
rnacentral:misc_RNA from 1 species